GACGAACGCUGGCGGCGUGCUUAACACAUGCAAGUCGAACGGAAAGGCCCUGCUUUUGUGGGGUGCUCGAGUGGCGAACGGGUGAGUAACACGUGAGUAACCUGCCCUUGACUUUGGGAUAACUUCAGGAAACUGGGGCUAAUACCGGAUAGGAGCUCCUGCUGCAUGGUGGGGGUUGGAAAGUUUCGGCGGUUGGGGAUGGACUCGCGGCUUAUCAGCUUGUUGGUGUGGUAGUGGCUUACCAAGGCUUUGACGGGUAGCCGGCCUGAGAGGGUGACCUGCCACAUUGGGACUGAGAUACGGCCCAGACCCCUCCGGGAGGCAGCAGUGGGGAAUAUUGCACAAUGGGCGGAAGCCUGAUGCAGCAACGCCGCGUGCGGGAUGACGUCCUUCGGGUUGUAAACCGCUUUCGCCUGUGACGAAGCGUGAGUGACGGUAAUGGGUAAAGAAGCACCGGCUAACUACGUG
rnacentral:rRNA from 1 species